rnacentral:rRNA from 1 species
AUGGCCGAGGACGGCGGCGGCGGGGGCGGGGGAGGAGGUGGCGGGGAGCGGAUGAAGCUGCUGUGCAGCCUCGGCGGGCGCAUCCUGCCGCGGCCCGGGGACGGGACGCUGCGGUACGCCGGCGGCGACACCCGGAUCGUGUCCGUGCCGCGCGGGGUGGCGCUGCAGGACCUGCUGGCCCGCCUCGCCGACGCCUACGGCGGCGCCACGGGCCCGCACUUCGCGGUCAAGUACCAGCUCCCCGACGAGGGCCUCGACGCGCUCAUCUCGGUCUCCUCGCCCGAGGAUCUCGACAACAUGGUGGAGGAGUACGACAAGCUGGCCGUCGCCAGCCCCAAGCUGCGGGUCUUCAUCUUCCCCGUCUCCGAGGCGGCCGCGGCCGGGGACGAGGGCGCCGAGGGCGGCGCCAGCUUCGACGCCGGCCUCAGGUACCUCGAGGCCGUCAACGGCAUUGUGCGCAAGGAUAGCAACGCCAGCCUCUCGUCCACCCAGUGCUCCGACGGCGGGCCUCCUCCUCCUACCCCGGCUGUGCCUUCUUCUGGAGGAGGAGGGGGAGGGGGAGGAGGCGGCGGCGGCUCCCCGACUGCUGUCUCCCCCACCUCCACCUGCUCCUACGACGCCGCCAGAUCGGCUUUUGCUGCUCCGCCGCCACCCCAGCAGCUGCUUGUUGAUGUCUUCACCAAUGCUGCUCCUGCCCCUGUCCCGGUGAAGCCGCAGGAGAGUGCUGCGCCCCCUCAGCCAUCCCCCCAUCCACAUCCACACCCGCAUCCGCAUCCACAUCCGGAGGCAGCAAGGUACCGUCAGCCACUCUCACAGCUACCACCACUGCCACCAGUGUUCAUGAACGAUCAUAGGGAGGUUAUGCAGGGUCUGAAUCAGCAGCCACCAGAAAAUGCGACCUGGUUUCAGGACUGCAAUAUGUGUAUCAAGGCUCUGCCUCAUGCUCACUCCGAUCCAGUCGUGAAUGACUAUGCCAGCGAUGUGCGUGGAGGGGCGCCGCCUGAGCAAAUUCCAGUGUUCAUGAGCCUGCGGCCUGAAGAUGUGGCAAGGAUCAUGAUGGGAGAGCGGCAAAUACCUUCACAAAUGGGGGCUUAUGGGUACACACAUAUGCAUCCAGUGCAGCCUGACAGGGAAAGGAUGUAUGCACCAAAGAUGGAAGGCGUUGCAAACCCAAUGCCCGUCGAUCCAGCGAGCUUUCAUCAGCAUGUCUAUGUGCAGCAGCAGCACCACCAGCAGCAGCAAUUGCCACCACAGCAGGUGCCGUCGUCGACUUAUGGAUUUAACCAUAUCCCCAUGAUGCCUACUGAGAUGGUCUCUCCAAAUUCCGUUCAUUCUGACACUGCAAGCUCUCAUCAACAAGCUAUACUGCAUCAAAUGCCUUCACCCCAUGGAAUGGCUCAGUACCAAGUGAGGCAAACUAAUCCCAAUAAUCCGCUUGAAGGCGAAGGUAGUUUAAGUGGCAAUUCUAGGCAUCGGGGGGAUGGACAAGUGCUCCGUGAUAAUGUGCCUUCAGUGGCACCUGCUGCUGUGCCAACCUAUAUGGCCAAUGUGGACAGGAUGAUGGAUUCACUACGGGUGAACCCCAACGAGCCCCGCUAUCCCGAACAAAGGAUGUAUGCCGAGAAUGGUUUACCCCAGAAUGCAACAUCGCAAUACUCUCAGAGCAACACCAACACCUUUUUUGAUGUCAGUGAGCCAAAGAUAGCCCCUCCAACUGAAUCAAUGCCACCGCCUUCUGUGGCCAGUCCUUAUAUGCAUACUGUCCAGCAUGCCAACGUUAACCAUAUGCCGCCGCAAAUGGUGAGCAUUGGGGGACCAUACCCCAGUUAUGUUGCCGCUACGAUUGGGCAUGUGGGUGUGCCCCCAUCGGCUUAUGGUGUUGAUCCUGCGUAUACAAAAGCCACUAUUAACCCAAUGGGCGAGCAGAAGGAUGUUCUGCCUGAAGUUUAUCACAAGGAAGCUCCACAUGAAUCCGUUCCUCCUUCGAACGCUAAUGCUCAGGUACCAUUACCGACACCAGCAUUGGCAAAUCACGCUCCAGUCGAGCAGCUCCAGGAGUCUGGUUUACCGGGUCAACAGUUCAGCAAUGUACAUGCGCUGCCACCAAGACCUAAGAGGGUAGCAAGCAGGGAGAACAUCAGUUCUAAGGAUCCCCAUUCCCAAAACUCUCUGUUGAAUUGCAAAGGGCCAGAUUUGAAUAUCCCGGCUGAGGAGCAACCAUAUCACAAAGACACACAUGCAGAACAACCUCAGUUUGUCAAAGGUGAUGGUAUCACUAACCCAGACUUGCUGGGCAUGGAGGAUGGUCUAGCCGCAUUUGAGCCUCCACCUCCUGUGCUGAAUGAAGGGCAUGGGAAUGUCACUAAUAAAGUAGACGGGCAAGCUCACACCAACGAGGUUAGCAAGGGCAAACCACUAGAUUGGAUUUCAGGACAACCAGUCGCAGAUGAGCAUGAACGCCUCCAGAUUAUAAAGAAUGAUGACCUCGAAGAGCUCCAAGAACUCGGUUCUGGAACUUUUGGAACUGUAUAUCAUGGUAAAUGGAGGGGCUCUGAUGUUGCAAUAAAAAGAAUCAAUGACAGAUGUUUUGCUGGGAAGCCAUCUGAGCAAGAAAAAAUGCGGAAUGACUUCUGGAAUGAAGCAUCUAACCUUGCUGAUCUGCACCACCCCAAUGUUGUGGCCUUUUACGGCGUUGUUCUAGAUGGGCCUGGGGGAUCCAUUGCAACGGUUACAGAAUAUAUGGUUAAUGGCUCACUUAGGACGGCUUUGCUGAAGAAUUCCAAGAGCCUGGAUCGACGCAAACGGCUAAUUAUUGCCAUGGACACAGCUUUUGGAAUGGAGUAUCUGCAUAACAAAAACAUUGUGCACUUUGACCUCAAAAGCGACAAUUUACUUGUUAAUUUAAGGGAUCCUCAGCGUCCAAUAUGCAAGGUUGGUGACCUUGGGCUUUCAAAAGUCAAGUGUCAGACCCUCAUCUCUGGUGGUGUGAGGGGAACGCUUCCAUGGAUGGCCCCAGAGCUUCUGAAUGGAAGCAGCAGCCUGGUCUCUGAAAAGGUUGAUGUCUUCUCCUUUGGGAUUGUCCUGUGGGAACUCCUCACAGGAGAGGAACCAUAUGCAGAUUUGCAUUAUGGUGUUAUCAUUGGUGGCAUUGUGAGCAACACUCUGCGGCCGCAGGUGCCUGACUCAUGCGACCCAGAGUGGAGGUCGCUGAUGGAGCAAUGCUGGGCGACAGAACCGUCGGAACGGCCAAGCUUCACCCAGAUCGCCGUCAGGCUGCGCGCCAUGGCCGCGUCCCAGAAGGUGCAAUCCUAG